rnacentral:rRNA from 1 species
CCAAUAGCGUAUAUUAAAGUUGUUGCAGUUAAAAAGCUCGUAGUUGAAUUUCGGAAUUCUUUUAUCGGUUGAAUCAACAGGUUCGUACUGAUUUUAAGAAUUUCUACCUUCUGGAGAACCUUAAUAUCAUUUAUUUGAUGUUUUGGGAAACCAGGACUGUUACCUUGAAAAAAUUAGAGUGUUUAAAGCAGGCUUAUGUCUGAAUAUAUUAGCAUGGAAUAAUGAAAUAGGACGGCAUGGUUCUAUUUUGUUGGUUUCUAGGAUCACCGUAAUGAUUAAUAGGGUUAGUGGGGGGCAUUAGUAUUCAAUUGUCAGAGGUGAAAUUCUUGGAUUUAUUGAAGACUAACUUCUGCGAAAGCAUUUGCCAAGGAUGUUUUCAUUAAUCAAGAACGAAAGUUAGAGGUUCGAAGGCGAUCAGAUACCGCCCUAGUUCUAACCAUAAACGAUGUCGACCAGCGAUCCGUAGUCGUUAAAUGAAUGACUCUACGGGCAGCUUCAG